UGCCGUUGAUGAAACUUUUCUUCUGACACCUCAUAUGAGAGCGAUAAGCUCCUGAUUCUAGCUUUUUAAUAAUCUGAGGCCA
rnacentral:snoRNA from 1 species